UACGAAGGGUGCGAGCGUUGUCCGGAAUUAUUGGGCGUAAAGAGCUUGUAGGCGGUUUGUCGCGUCUGCCGUGAAAAUUCGAGGCUCAACCUCGAACUUGCGGUGGGUACGGGCAGUCUAGAGUGUGGUAGGGGAGACUGGAAUUCCUGGUGUAGCGGUGAAAUGCGCAGAUAUCAGGAGGAACACCGAUGGCGAAGGCAGGUCUCUGGGCCACUACUGACGCUGAGAAGCGAAAGCAUGGGGAGCAAACAGG
rnacentral:rRNA from 1 species